AAAUGCCUAAAGGCGAUUCAAAUAGAGACGCUUUUUUAAGAGUUACCUGUUCUAUUGAAAUGACCGAAACGUCAAGUUAAAUGAGCCUUCAGACAGUUUCUCCACCCCCGCCGCCGCCUGUUGUUAUUGAAUGUGCGUGUCUUUUGUGUUUGAUAUAUUUGCUAGGGGAAGAGUACAACACCACCUAUCUCCUGUUUACAACACAGUCCUUUCAACAGUUCCAAGAAGGUUCCAUACCCAUGUGCACUAUUCAGGUGACCCUGAGAACUUCCAAGUGGCCUCAACAAUUGUCAGAAAGAGUGCCAACGACCAGAUGACCGCAAGGAAUAUAAAUCUCUCCAUUCUUCAGCAUUCAUUCAGAAAGUUCUUGGAUGCCUUUUGAAAAAACACCUUUGGGACAACCAUGACUUGGAUGACUGAGAAUCUCAAUAGAUAUUUCCUUCUUAGCUUUUUUUAUUGUCUCUUAAAAGACAAUAAAUAGGAAGCAAAUCUUAUAGUAAUUCUCAUUGAACAUGUUACCUUGUUGGAUAAUUAAACAUCUGCAAGCAAACAACCAAGCUCAGAGAGCACCAAGCACUCUAUAAUUCAACCCUGAGUGAUAAAUAUUCUCUUUUUCAUAUUCAAUUAAAUAUCUAUUUCAUUGUGGGAAAAGAAACAGUACCCUAAUUUUAUGGAACAUUCUUGCCCUGGAGGAGAGGGCAGUCUCUACUGUAUGUAUUUGAAAAUUAAUCAAAGCAGCAUUGUUCCACUCGUAUCAGUCAUUUUGAGAAUAAUGGCAGACUAAACAUUCCUGAACAUCAGUGUUGAAAAAGGCACCUAAGAAUACUGUGGCAGCCAAAGAAACAAACAAAAAUAUUAUCAAAAGAAUUAAUGCAGAGUUUUCACAAGAGACACAAAUGACCACACUUAAAUUUUCCUACUUUGGGCUUUCUCUUUAUGCCAAGACCUAGCUCUCUAGAAAAGACUGUAAUCUUGGAAGUGGUAGAAAGAAGAAAGCUACCACCAGUUACAGUGGCAAUGAGUACAUUAUUGGAAGAUGUAAAAGUUCUUCCAGAGACUAUUGGCCGCUGAGUUCUGCACCAAUUGAAGAUUCAGACUACAGGCAGAUUCACAUGCAGUAAUUUACAGCAGUUAGGUACAAUGGUUACGAAUGCCUGCAUCAAGGUAUUAAGGAAGCUUUCAAGAUAGUAUGAGGAAAACUACUAAACUAUAUGAGACCAAUGAAUAUGCCUACAUGACAGAAUUGAAUGUAUUUCUCUGCAAAAAAAGGAAAAUGCAGCAGAAUGAACAAAUACUUGUAUUACCAUAAUGCUAAAAAAUAAGGAUUAAAUUAUGGUUUAUUAAACAAGC